rnacentral:rRNA from 1 species
UGGGGAAUUUUGGACAAUGGGGGAAACCCUGAUCCAGCCAUCCCGCGUGUGCGAUGAAGGCCUUCGGGUUGUAAAGCACUUUUGGCAGGAAAGAAACGUCAUGGGUUAAUACCCCGUGAAACCGACGGUACCUGCAGAAUAAGCACCGGCUAACUACGUGCCAGCAGCCGCGGUAAUACGUAGGGUGCAAGCGUUAAUCGGAAUUACUGGGCGUAAAGCGUGCGCAGGCGGUUCGGAAAGAAAGAUGUGAAAUCCCAGAGCUCAACUUUGGAACUGCAUUUUUAACUACCGGGCUAGAGUGUGUGAGAGGGAGGUGGAAUUCCGCGUGUAGCAGUGAAAUGCGUAGAUAUGCGGAGGAACACCGAUGGCGAAGGCAGCCUCCUGGGAUAACACUGACGCUCAUGCACGAAAGCGUGGGGAGCAAACAGG